rnacentral:tRNA from 4 species
UCCGGGGUAGCUCAGCGGUAGAGCAAUCGGCUGUUAACCGAUCGGUCGCCGGUUCGAAUCCGGCCCCCGGAGCCA